rnacentral:lncRNA from 1 species
GGCUUUAUUUCCCCAGUGUGAGGAAUCUGUGAGUGGUGAGGGGUCUGUGGUCCCUGUUGCCCCAAGGACCCUGCAGCCUCCAGAUGGAUAACGGCCCAGGCUCCAGGCCUUGAUCCUCCCAGGCUGGGGCUGGUUCUGGGAGGAGCCGGGCAUGCUGUGGUUUGUAAGGAUGACACUCCCAAAGGUGGUCCUGACAGUGGCCCAGAUGGACAUGGGGCUCACCUCAAGGACAAGGCCACCAGGUGCGGGGGCCGAGGACGCGGCUACACUGCUGGACCUGCG